UUGUAUUACUUGUAUUGUAACGCUUGAAAUGUUUUUGCUUACGAUUGUAAGUCGCCCUGGAUAAGGGCGUCUGCUAAGAAAUAAAUAAUAAUAAUAAUAAUAAUGUAGGGCCAGAGUUUCAACUGGUACAUCACCUCUGAGAGGCCUUCCAAAACCUUGCAGUGUCCCUCCCAGCAACUGGACAGCUUAGGGCAGUCCCUUCCCGUGCUAGGGACAGUAGACCCACACUUUGGUCCCCUGGCUGGAAGUCCCGACCCCAGCACUGGGUGUCUUAGGCCCGCUUCUGUCGCUAUCCAGCACUAUCAAUGUAUGUCUGGGUGAAUUUGUGGGUGAUGUUGAGAUGGUGCAAGUACUCCAAUCCGGCUGGCUCAGAGAUGUCAAGCUGCGUUGUCAGCCAAACAUCAGGUCCACCAGGGUGCUCAGCUCCCUCCUGAACAUCGCUGGCAUGAAUCCUGUGGAUUUCUGGAAUGCUGUCCAGUAUGAACCACUCCCGCAGGUACCCAAAGGUUUUGGCCACACCAAUGUAUCCAAUGCCAGAUCCCCCAUGCAUGUCCUGUACCACAGUCUCCCCACUGUGCGUAAAGCACCUUGGUCCCCGAGGUGAGCACUGCCACAGUAAGCGCCGAAUCUACUCUUCAUUUAGCUCGGGCGGGGUUUCUGAGCUAGCUGUUACGGAGCUUGCUUGCUUGCUUGCUUGCUUGAGCAUCCGGGCAGCGCUGCACCUCCUACUGCUCAUCCUAACAUGGUCGUUGUGACAGGGCAUCCGUGUUGCUGUGCAUGUGACCUGGCCAGCGCUCGAUGGAGUGGUUGUACUCGUGUAGGUCCUCGAUCCAUUGGGCGAUCUGUCCCUCUGGCUUGGGGAACUGGAGCAGCCACUUCAUGGAUGUGUGGUCUGUGCGCAGGUGGAAACAUCAGCCGUACAGGUAGGGGCAGAAGUGCUGUAUGGCGAUGUGCGCAUGGCUCUUCACUAAAUGCCAGUAGUAGGAUGCCAGGCCUAAGAAGCUGUGCACCUCGGAGACAGUCUUAAGGCUCAGCCAGUUCUUCACAUAUGCUACCUUGGCCGGGUCCGUGGCGAUGCUGUUCGCCCCAUGACGAGGAAGUGGGUUUUCCUCCGCAGCAAAUGGCACAGUUGGGUGCAGUUUGAGUCCAGCCUGACGGAUGCACUUGAACACAGUUCACAGAUUCUCCAGCACUCCUCAGAAUGUGGGGGCGUGCACCAUUGGGUCAUCCAGGUAGAUGACAUAUGCUGUCUGGGAACUAAGAUGAGCACAUGUUCCAUCAGGCACUCGAAGGAUUUAGUGGCAUUGCACAGUCUGAAUGGCAUCACCCAGAACUGCCACAGUCCUUGGCCAAUGGAGAACACAGUCUUGGGGUGAGCCUCCAGAGUUAGUUAUACCUGCCAGUACCCACUGUACAAGUCCAGGGAGCAGAACCAGCAAGACCCAGCAAUUGCAGUCCAGGACCUUGUUGAUUCGGGGGAGGGGGUAUGAGUCCUUCUUGGUAACAGCAUUAGGCUUGCAGUAGUCCACACCAGUCCUUCUUCUUUACCAGCAUGGCCAGGGCAGGCCAGGGGGUGUUAGAGGGCUUGAUUAUGUGAGGCAUAUUUAUUAUUAUAUUCUUGUCUUUGGGUAAAAAUAGUCCACCACAGUAUAUGGAUUUCAAGUAAAAAUAUAUUAUUAAAUAAAGGCGGAAUCAAUAACUAUAAAUACAUUUUUACUUAUUUCUAAAAAAAACUACAUUGUGAAUUAAAACACAUGAAAUACGGUUUAAUUAAAACAUGUAACAUAUGCCUAGGAAUGCUGACAGUGCUUAUUGGAAUGACAAAGAAAAGACUACGUAAUAUUAAAAAGUAUUAUUUAUUCAGAAGUUACAAAAUUAGCUGUCGCAGUGUGUGCAGGUUUCUACCCUGACUGACCCAGCCCACAGAGGCAAUCUGGUUGUUGUUGUCAUCAUGAAGGGGGAAGAAGGAACACGGGUUGACCCACUGUUGUUUCCCAACAGCUGGAGAGUGGUGCUGUGCUCCUCGGUUAGUCAGGCCUGCAGGUGUCCGGGCUUUCCACAGCGGCUUUCUUUUCGGGUAUUCUGGCUCCCCGGUGGAAUCCUGCUCUUCCUCGCUGCACAUGGUGUUGCGCAUGGGCCUGGCGAGGGGAUGACAGCAUUCUCCCUCCUCAAACAUGGCCUCGACCCGCACGGCAAGAGCCAAAGCCUGCUCUGGGAUGGUUGGUCCCACUAGCCACUGCCUCCAUUGGCAGGUUGCUUCAUACCUCGGAGGGAAAUACUGGGUAAGCCAUCCUGGCAAGGUAGUAGACUGCCUCCAGCACACCAAGCUCCUCUCCUGGCCAGGAGCCGUUCCAGCCUAGGAAUUUGCAGUGGCUACAACAGUGAGUUUGAUAUUAACCCCCUUUUAUGUAGCCAUAAAAUGUGGAAUAGAUUUUCUGAUAAACUGUGGGCAAUUUGCCUAACAUGCAUGCUGUUGUCACUGUAAUGAGUGUGGUUGAGGAAGAGGUCAGAGGUGGGUGUUCUUGGAAAUGUGUUGAUUCAGUCUGUGUUUUAUAGGAUGGUACCAUUCACAUAACAAUACAUUGUAUAUUAGUUAUACUACCACUGUACAUUGUUGUAUAACACUAAUAGUAUUAUUUUCUCCAAGUAAGCUAACAUACAGUAUAUAAAAUGUAUAAUUGUAAUUACUAUUAAUACAUAUUUGUUUUUCUUAUAGGAGCUGGACAAAAAUGAUAUCUGAAAUGUUGCACUGCUGUUGAAAGGCAUUCAGUGCUUUUGUUUGAACAGAUUCAAGAGUGCAUUGAGCCUGUUAGUCAAACAAUGAUUUGUUUUAAAGAUAAAUAUUGUUGUAUAUACGGGCAGUUUAAAUUAAUUCAAAAUGUAGUCUGUGUUUCUAAUAGCCUAGCAGCUAGUAAAAUCACCCCAGGUUUGAGACUGUUUUUUAUGGGGCACUACCAGUAAAAUAUUUGUAAUUGAUUGUUAACCAACUGGUUCUAGAGGGUUUAUGGUACUCCUUGCCAUAAACUAUGUGUACUAAAUAUUGUUCUACACUAUACUUGCCAGUGCUCUUUUUAGAAGUGGAGGGAGGGGUAAUUGAAUGCAGUUCUUCCUCACCUAACAUUAAGGAUUCAUUAAUAAAGAGGUUUUUUUUUUCUUUAAUGUACCUGGUUUGAAAGAGCUUCAGACUUUCUGAAAUCUGAAGAACUGAAAUUAAAGAAACCCUUUUACUUCUCAUUUGAAUAAUUUGACCAUGCUUUACUUGAAGGUAAUAUCAUGGAGUUUAAGUAUUUUAAUGUAUUAAUUUAUGUUUUUAAUUGUUUAAUUUUCUCUUAUUUAGGAACUUUGCAAAAAUGACAAUGAAGGUUAAACAAGUAUGUUGAUUACUGGGUGAAGGAAUGUAAUCCUGCAGGAACGUGAUGUUGAAUAGCCCUAUCUAUCGUAUUUAUUAAUGGAUUUUCUUUUAAUGUUUCAGCCAAAAGUCAAAUACAGAAUAAAUGUGUGCAGCAUUUAGGCUAUAUGGUGGUUGAUACUGGCAUUUUGUUUGUUCUGCGACCUUGAGGCUAUACAGACUUUCAACUCCAUUCUAGACACUGCAAGCAAAGAAGAUCGAAAGAAAAUGAAAUUUUCUGGAGAGCAAUAUGAUUCUCCAGCAAUGUGAACUGUUCUCUGGCAGCAGCCAGUGGAAGCAACAUCAUUUCAAUGUUCAUCCAGGGGAAGGUAACUGGGGAUAUUAACAUGCCUGUGAAAAUAAAACUUUCAGGUAAUACAUGUAUCAUGGAAUUCUGUGAUCCUUUUGAUGUAUUUCUGUGAUCAUAUUCAUGGAAUUACAUGCUCCUAUCAUUUAAUUACAUGAUCAUUUUCACUUCAUGUGCUGGUAUCACAUAAUAAGUUAGUAUCACGUAGAUGCAUGUUGGUAUCAUAUAAUUAUG